ACCGUUUUUAUUUCUCUGGUUUUUUAGGAAUAUAUAGGUUAAUGGUGAUUUUUGAUCUGCAGAAGCUGGUAUACGUCUUCUCGCUAUGUUGACAUAAAUGAACGCAUACACAAUGCCGCGUAUUGAUAAGGUUUUCGUGAACAUAUGUGAUAGUAAGAUUUUAAUUCAUGGAUAAUGGAUCAGUUAUUCGAAGCUUUUGUGGCCAAAAUAUAAACGGAUGCAAGAAGGAUGAAACAAUGAAAUGGGAUCUUUUGGUUGGGAAGUAUAUCUAGAUCAACAACCUUAACUGAGUGCAGUAAGAGUUCGUGCUUCUAUGUCAGCAGGAAACAUCUAUGAAGAAAAUAUCAUCUUUGGAUUUCAGAAGUACCGUAUUGGAAGAGUUGUGCAAGGAUCAUUGAUGUUCGAAUGUGGUUUUGCACUUAUGUUUCUUUCUUAGUAUUUGGAUCUUUUAGAAAGUCUGAUUCGAGUCUCGACUGCCUUUCCAUUUUAUAGUGUUCAUACUAUACUACAACAGUGGUAAUGUUCUUGCUUAGACAGUAGAGGUUAUGACAAGUAUUCAAGUAGUUAAUUACCAAGCAGCAAUCAGGGCAUCUUGAUUACUGAGCGACGGUGGCAAAGGCACAAGAAUGAUUUGCAUUAUUCUUAGCCCUUAUAAAGUUAAUCCCAACAGCAGUUACAGACUACCCAUUAUGGACCGAUGAGGACAGUUUUUUCGGCCUUCUUUUAAGCUAUAUGAAUGUAAUGCUUCACCUUGGUGCUUGAAAAUUCUUUAAUUUGUCGCCUGUAGUAAUUAAGCUUGUAUUGUAUACGUUUGGAGAACUUUGUUGUAAUUCCUAAUUUUCUAUAUUAUCACUUUAUAUCAAGGCUUAAAUUAAGGCCAUUAGUGUUUGUUGGACUGGAUUCCU